rnacentral:rRNA from 1 species
GACAGAGGAUGCAAGCGUUAUCCGGAAUGAUUGGGCGUAAAGCGUCUGUAGGUGGCUUUUUAAGUCUGCCGUCAAAUCCCAGGGCUUAACCCUGGACAGGCGGUGGAAACUACCAAGCUGGAGUACGGUAGGGGCAGAGGGAAUUUCCGGUGGAGCGGUGAAAUGCGUAGAGAUCGGAAAGAACACCAACGGCGAAGGCACUCGUGCUGGGCCGACACUGACACUGGAGAGACGAAAGCUAGGGGAGCAAAUGGG